rnacentral:rRNA from 1 species
CCUACGGGAGGUAGCAGUGAGGAAUAUUGGUCAAUGGACGAGAGUCUGAACCAGCCAAGUAGCGUGAAGGAUGACUGCCCUAUGGGUUGUAAACUUCUUUUAUAAAGGAAUAAAACGAGGCACGUGUGCCUUUUUGCAUGUACUUUAUGAAUAAGGAUCGGCUAACUCCGUGCCAGCAGCCGCGGUAAUACGGAGGGUCCGAGCGUUAUCCGGAUUUAUUGGGUUUAAAGGGAGCGUAGGUGGGUUGUUAAGUCAGUUGUGAAAGUUUGCGGCUCAACCGUAAAAUUGCAAUUGAUACUGGCAGUCUUGAGUACAGUUGAGGUAGGCGGAAUUCGUGGUGUAGCGGUGAAAUGCUUAGAUAUCACGAAGAACCCCGAUUGCGAAGGCAGCUUACCAAACUGUGACUGACAUUGAUGCUCGAAAGUGUGGGUAUCAAACAGGAUUAGAUACCCUUGUAGUC